rnacentral:rRNA from 1 species
GGACAGAAAGACCCUAUGAAGCUUUACUGUAACUUGAGAUUGAAAUUGGACUUUAUUCGCGCAGUAUAGGUGGGAGGCAUUGAAAAUAUUCUUGCGGGAAUAUUGGAGCCAUCAGUGAGAUACCACUCUUGUAAUGUUAGAUUUCUAACUUUGUAUCAUUAUCUGGUCAAAGAACAGUUUCAGGCGGGCAGUUUGACUGGGGCGGUCGCCUCCUAAAUGGUAACGGAGGCGCACAAAGGUUUCCUCUGAACGGGUAGAAAUCGUAUCUAGAGUGUAAAGGCAUAAGGAAGCUUGACUGUGAGACCUACAAGUCGAGCAGGGACGAAAGUCGGUCUUAGUGAUCUGACGGUGCUGAGUGGAAAGGCCGUCACUCAACGGAUAAAAGUUACUCUAGGGAUAACAGGCUGA